rnacentral:rRNA from 1 species
CUUAGUGGCGAACGGGUGAGUAACGCGUGAGUAACCUGCCCUGGAGUGGGGGACAACAGUUGGAAACGACUACUAAUACCGCAUAAGCCCACGGAUCCGCAUGGAUCUGCGGGAAAAGGAUUUAUUCGCUUCAGGAUGGACUCGCGUCCAAUUAGCUAGUUGGUGAGGUAACGGCCCACCAAGGCGACGAUUGGUAGCCGGACUGAGAGGUUGAACGGCCACAUUGGGACUGAGACACGGCCCAGACUCCUACGGGAGGCAGCAUG